UUGUAUUCCAGUUCCUGCGCAGGUGCAUCUGUUUCCAUGUAUUUUGCCUGGUGUUUUUUUUCAAAAUCAAAGCCUGCAGAGUAAAGGAUAGCUGACUCUGAUUUCAGUGUAUAUUUUGUUGUGGAGCAAGAGCAAAAACUCCUGCCUAGAGGGUCAACUGCCCCUUAGAACCAACUUCUCUGGUUUGAAACGGCCUAUGUGGCAUCGAUAUGAGUCAGACACAUUCAUUUCAGUGUCAAAAUUGACGACAAAACUGUGUUUUGUAAGUGAGUUCAUCACAACUACUGGAGGGUUGGGUAUGGAUUACUUAACGCCGAUUUAUGGACAUUCUGGUGUCUGCAUUGAACGUACAGCAUUUACUGCGAUGCGGCCUCUGCAGAAGUCAGGGCAUUCAUACUUGUGCUUCUCAGAGCAGAGCUGUUGUGAAUGAAGUUGUCAAGGAAGUGAGUUUGUGUUUAUACAGGACGUAUCGCCCCCACCUGCAGUCAGACAAUGUUAAAUCGGAGCUAUACGGAGCCCUCACAUUGUUACAAAAUUUGGGAGGCCAUGGCGAGAUGGUACGGAGCUCCGCAAUUGCGGCACACCCUUGAGUUACAUUCAACAUGGUUACUUCUGCUGCCUGUCAACCGUCAAACUACUGGUGAUGCUGCCUCCAACGUCGUUUUAGAGACUUUGGCAGUAAGUCCAACCGGCCUCACAACCGCAGACCUCGUGUAACCACGCCAGCCCAGGAUCUCCACAUCUGGCUUUUUCACCUGCGGGAUCGUCUGAGACCAGCCACACGAACAUCUGAUGGAACUGAGGAGUAUUUCUGUCUGCAAUAAAGCCCUUUUGUGGGGAAAACCUCACUCUGAUUGGCUGGGCCUUGCUCCACAGUAGACUAAUCCAGCUGCUGCUGCUGAUGUUGACACCAGCUUUAGUAGUACAGAGCCUGUAGACCCAUUGGAUGAAAGUAUUCAGCCUGGAAUAAACUCAAGCUCAAAAUGAUCUGACUUUGAAACAAGCCGACAGCCAAAGGAGAAUUAUAGAACAAACAAAUCUUCUGCAUGAGGUUGAAGCAGCGGGUGGUGAAGAAAGAGAGGCUUUUCUACUUGGCUGUGGAGUGCAGAAAGGACCAGACUGUUGUCUACAAGGAGCCAGAGUCACAUCCCCCCCAAACCUAACAUCACUGCCAACAUCGCCACAGCACCAAAGCUUGCUAAACCAGCUGCCAUUACCCAAAACAAGGAGAGGUUCACCAGCUGAAGAACAUUCUGGAACUUGCCUGGAACAUUCAACCAACACAACAUCCAUAUUCUGUUAGACUGAUGUUGUAGUAUAAUAUAGAAUUGUAACGGAGACGCAGGGAGCUCCUCCUCGGAGUGCUAGAUGAACGGGGAGUAAUCAGGGAAGUGAUGACCUCCCCCCUCCGACGUGCGGCCCCAGCCGCAGGACGACACCGGCCCCGAGGGCGAAGAGCGGGCCGGUCUGGACGGCGAAGGUGGAAAUCUCAGAUGAGAUUAGUCUGUUAAUGUAGCAAAUAAGUAGACAUGUCUUGUAUUCAGGACAAAGUUUAUUUGUUCUGGGGACCGUGGUAAUUUUACACAGCAGUAUGCAGGAAUACAGUAUAUACAGUAGAAGAAAUACUAAUACUAACGCUUUUAAUAAAUACUACAGUUCUACAAAGGGAAUACUUGCAUAUGGUGUGUUUGGGUGGUGCAGUGAGGUGUUCGGAGUCACUUUGAUACAAUGGGAGUUUGCUGUUAUGGGACCUUUCACAUCUUGUCUUGAGUCAUCAAUUAUAUUUCUUGUCUGUGAGAGAAAGAAGAAAACUCUAUUACACAUUCAUGGGCAAUCGUUGUUUACUGUCUGUAUUCCUACUGUAGCAGCAUGCUGUAGAAUGAGACAUCUCACAGACAUGUUAAAUAGCUAGCUAGCUACAACACACAGGUAUAGGUACCCCAAGUCUAAUAUGAGUCAUCAAGCCAAAGUCAUUCCUUUAUUCUCCAGUAUCAUCAUCAAAACAUUUCUCCAGUUUUGCUCAUAAUGCGAGGCACCGAGGGUAGUUAGCUAGCUACAACGUUAGACUACAGUACAUUUUAAAUAUAGUAAACAACACGGCUAGCUUGGCUUGUAGUGGUUCUAACAAGCCGCGUUAUCGCCGAAUCGAUCACCAAAUUGUACUGAACAACACUGCCUCGGUUAAAAGAUAGAUUAUAUUGCUAGCUAGCUGCCGCUGCUUGCUGGCCUUGUAAUUAUUUUUCUUGCUGUCUCAACUUCUCUUCAGUGUAUUCCGGCUCACAUAAAUAGGCCCGUACGUUCCUAUGUAAAAUAAAAUAAAGGUUUUGUCGUUCAGCUCUUCUUGGAAAGAGGAAGCAGCCAUUGUAGCAAAUUAUUGAGCAUUCUCGGUAACAUAGCUCCUGUGAACCUGUAAACUAGUACCGCCCCCAUUUUUAAAAGCUUGCCUUCGAGGGUGGGAACAAGGAAGUAUGGCUCCCGUCAGGCUAUAGUCUAUACAAAACCAGGUAAAAUGAGUCAAUCUUGAUAUCCUGCAAUGUCCUGGCAGAUAGGAACAUCGUUGAGAAAAGUCCAAUGGCUCUAUUGAACAAGGACAACCAUAUCUACUCGCGUGAUCGUGCAGUCGGCGAAACACAAAGGCCACAAUAAUUGCUUAGAAACGUAACUCCAUAAAUUUUUUGAUCAGACAGCAGGCUCAAUCAACCAAUGACAUAAUUGUCUGAAUCACCCUCUCAUCACUCUGGAAAAACACCCCAAAAAGUCUCUAGUGGUGAAGUUUCCCUUUAAGGGAUGUACACAAAGGCUGGCUAUCCUUGCAUCGGAAACAGAGUUGUGAGGACGGCAAAGCACUGCCACUAUUGGUUGAUUAUCC
rnacentral:lncRNA from 1 species